UACGUAGGGGGCGAGCGUUAUCCGGAUUCACUGGGUGUAAAGGGAGCGUAGACGGCCAUGCAAGCCAGGGGUGAAAGCCCGGGGCCCAACCCCGGGACUGCCCUUGGAACUGCAUGGCUGGAGUGCGGGAGGGGCAGGCGGAAUACCUGGUGUAGCGGUGAAAUGCGUAGAUAUCAGGAGGAACACCGGCGGCGAAGGCGGCCUGCUGGACCGCGACUGACGUUGAGGCUCGAAAGCGUGGGGAGCGAACAGG
rnacentral:rRNA from 1 species